rnacentral:lncRNA from 1 species
AUUGUUCCAGAGAGUUCUUCAACUUCUCUCUCUUUCUCUCACUGAGUUCUUCAUCACUUUGCCUUCAAUCCGUUUUUAUGGUAUCAUAGCAGGAUGAUCCUCGGAUUCUUCUCUGUUACUUGUUAUCGAUUGUGUUUGAAGCUUUAUGAAGGUUUUUCUCGGAUAUUUCUGAGAGAUUUUGUUUACCGAGAGAACGAUGUGUACUGAACGGAUAAUCGGAUCCUUUACUGCUGUUUGAUUCUUCGAUCUUCACUCAGUGGAUGUUUUGGGUGACUUUCCGACAUCCCUGACCUUUUUUCGGUGAUUCUCCAAAUUCUAGGGUUUCCGGUGGUUGAACCUAGGGUUUUACUACUAUCCUAUGGCUCGAUCCUCACUCGGUGGAUGUUUUGGGUGACUUUCCGACAUCCCUGACCCUAUUCCGGUAAGUUUCCAGUUCAGUUUCCGGUGGUUGGACCUAGGGUUUUAUCUGGCGAUUGAAGGUUGUUCUUCUCCGGUCGCGAAGAAGGAGGGAAACUCUAUCCCUGUGCUAAGU